AGUGAACGCUGGCGGUAGGCCUAACACAUGCAAGUCGAACGGCAGCACGGUAAGAGCUUGCUCUUACGGGUGGCGAGUGGCGGACGGGUGAGGAAUACAUCGGAGUCUACUUUUUCGUGGGGGAUAACGUAGGGAAACUUACGCUAAUACCGCAUACGACCUACGGGUGAAAGCAGGGGAUCUUCGGACCUUGCGCGAUUGAAUGAGCCGAUGUCGGAUUAGCUAGUUGGCGGGGUAAAGGCCCACCAAGGCGACGAUCCGUAGCUGGUCUGAGAGGAUGAUCAGCCACACUGGAACUGAGACACGGUCCAGACUCCUACGGGAGGCAGCAGUGGGGAAUAUUGGACAAUGGGCGCAAGCCUGAUCCAGCCAUACCGCGUGGGUGAAGAAGGCCUUCGGGUUGUAAAGCCCUUUUGUUGGGAAAGAAAAGCAGCAGGUUAAUACCCCGCUGUUCUGACGGUACCCAAAGAAUAAGCACCGGCUAACUUCGUG
rnacentral:rRNA from 1 species